GAAGCGUCUCCACCAGCCCUGGUGCUGUUCCAGCCUCCAAGUCUGAAUCUAUGGUCCCUCUGGAGAGUGUUUUCUCCUGCUCUGCUGCUGCCCCUUGUCUGCUCGUCCUCGCACAGCCUCGGGACACCCCUCAGAGAGCAAUUCUGCAGACACACCACAUCCAUCUCCCUCAGCAGAUCGGGAGCUGCCUGCCAGGCACUGUCCAGAGUGCUGUACGUGGAUAACCUCACCCAGGAUUCACAAUCAUCCCAGGAGGUGGAUCUACUAUAACGCCCAUUUUACAGAUGCGGAAACUGAGGCAGAGUUUUGGGAACUGUCUCAAGGUCUUGCGGAGGACCGGGCGGCCGCCCCAGGCGGGAGGCUGUGGCGUUUGUCCACAGCCUGGGGCAGUGGCAUUGCAGCCUCCCAGCCUCGCCUCUCCUGCCCUUCCAGCCUCCAGGAGCCUGGGAGUCCCAGGUGGCUCCUCGGGACAAGGCCAAGACCGAUGCCAGAGGACCAGAGUGGUGUGAAGGAGGCACUGGGUGCAAAACUUAAGGAGCUCCAGAAAACCCCACAGAAAUCCAGAUGAUUAAUAUUUUGAGGCAAGAUUUUAAGAAAGCAAACAAUGCCAGAAGAUUCGGUUGUGGACAACAUAUCAAAAUUUUAAAGACAAGAUCAGUAGCAGCUGGGCUGAGGGAGGCUGCAGCCAAGGAAAACUCAAGAGUAGGAUCCCAUUUUAGUUAAAAUGUUGGUAUUUUGUCUACCACGGAUCGUUCUCCACGAUUUUAAAGCGGUGCCUGGAUGGUGGGUCAGAUUCCACGUGGGACUGUGAUGAACCAGUGAGAAGGCAGCAAAUGCAAGCAUCUUAAUUCUCUUUUUUUCUUUCCAACAGCUUUAUUGGGAUGUAAUUUAUAUCGUACAGUUCACCCAUUUAAAGUGUCCAAUUCAGUGGUUUUCAGAAUAUUCAAACUCAUGCAACUAUCGCCACAGCAAUUUGGGAACAUUUUCAUCACCUCUAGAAAAUUCCCUGGACCCACUAGCAGCCUCUUCCGUUCAUUUCAAUUUCCCCAGCCCUGGGCAACCACUAAUCCUUCUGUCUCUAUGGAUUUGCCUAUUCUGGAUAUUUCGUAUAAAUGGACCCAUACGAUAUGUGGUCUCUGGUGUGUGGCUUUUUCACUUAAGCAUAAUGUUUUCAAGGUUGAUCCUUGCGGUAGCAUGCAACAGUGCUUCACGCCUGUAUCCUGCCCAGUAAUAUUCCAUUGUAGGGAUAAGCCACAUUUUCUUUGUCCGUUCCUCCGCAGAUGGACGUUUGGGUUGUUUCUACUUUUUGGCCAUAAUGAAUAAUGCUGUUACAGACAUUCAUGUACAAGUUUUUGUGUGGACAUUUGUUUUCAUUUCUCUUGGGCAUAUACCUAGAGUAGAAUUUCUGAGUCAUAUGGUAACUCCACGUUUAACCGUUUGAGGCAUUGCCGGACUGUUUUCCAAAGUGGCCCCACCCUGUUACAAUCCCACCAGCGAUGUAGGAAGCCUCCAGUUUCUCCACAUCUUCACCAGCACUUGCUAUUCCCUGUCUUUUGGAUUAUAGCUUUCCUAGUGGGUCUGAAGUGGUAUCUCAUGUUGGUUUCGAUUUACCUUUCCCUAACGGUUAAUGAUGUUGAGCAUUUUUUCACCUGCUUUUUAGACAUUUGUGUAUCUUUCCUGGAGAAAUGUCUGUUCAAACCUUUUGCCCAUUUUUCAAACAUUUUAAUUAUGUUUUGUAUAAAUGGCAUCACACUGCGUUUAUUGUUCUGACUUGCUUCUUUGCAAUUGACAGUAUGCUCUGGAGCUCUUUCCACGAUCUUUAGAGAGCUACCUCACUGUUUUUAAGCAGCUCGUCAAAGUUUCAUAGUGUGGCUGUGCUAUAAGUAUUUAUCCAAUCUCUGAUUGAUGGAUAUUUAUGUUUUGUCAAAAAUUUGUUCUGUUACGAAACAAGGUAAUAAACAUCCUUAGACACAUCUCUGUAUACCCAAGUGGAUCUUUUUGAAAAAUAAAGUCCUAGGAGUGGAAUUGCUGGGUCGAAAUGUUUUGUUUCAACACGUAUUAACAAAUUGUUCUUCAAACAUUUAACUCACGGGCACCUUUACCAGCAUCGUGUGAGAAUGCCUGUUCAAUUGUGUGCUUACCAACACUUGAUAUUAUCUAUCUCUUUAAUUUUUGCCAAUUUGUCAGGCAAAAAAAAAUUCCACUGUUGUUUUAAUUUUCAUUUGCCUGAUUGCUGUGUGAACUUUAAAAAAUAUAAUUAUUGACCCUUUUCAUUUUUUCUUCUGUGAAAUCUAUUUGUAUCUUUUGUCCAUCUUUCUAAUGGACUGUUUUUCUGUAUUCUGGAUGUGGAUCAUUUUUCUCCCAGCCUGUUGCUGGUGUUUUGUCACACAGAAAUGUUCAAUUUCGACGUCAUAAAGAGUGUAACCCUCUUCCUUUUGAUUUCUUGGUUUCUCUUGUUUUUCCUACCGCAAGGUUGUGAAAACAUUUCCCUCUAAUAUUUUCAUAUUAAAAAAUGAAUAGAGAGAUACAUUUGGGAUGUCAUGACAAUAUUGAAAUAAAA
ensembl:lncRNA